AGCGAACGCUGGCGGUAGGCCUAACACAUGCAAGUCGAACGGCAGCACAGUAAGAGCUUGCUCUUACGGGUGGCGAGUGGCGGACGGGUGAGGAAUACAUCGGAAUCUACUUUUUCGUGGGGGAUAACGUAGGGAAACUUACGCUAAUACCGCAUACGACCUACGGGUGAAAGCAGGGGAUCUUCGGACCUUGCGCGAUUGAAUGAGCCGAUGUCGGAUUAGCUAGUUGGCGGGGUAAAGGCCCACCAAGGCGACGAUCCGUAGCUGGUCUGAGAGGAUGAUCGGCCACACUGGAACUGAGACACGGUCCAGACUCCUACGGGAGGCAGCAGUGGGGAAUAUUGGACAAUGGGCGCAAGCCUGAUCCAGCCAUACCGCGUGGGUGAAGAAGGCCUUCGGGUUGUAAAGCCCUUUUGUUGGGAAAGAAAAGCAGCAGGUUAAUACCCCGCUGUUCUGACGGUACCCAAAGAAUAAGCACCGGCUAACUUCGUG
rnacentral:rRNA from 1 species